CCUACGGGGGGCUGCAGUGGGGGAUAUUGCACAAUGGGGGGAACCCUGAUGCAGCGACGCCGCGUGGGUGAAGGAGCGUUUCGGCGCGUAAAGCCCUAUCGGCAGGGAAGAAGGAGGACGGUACCUGCCUAAGAAGCCCCGGCUAACUACGUGCCAGCAGCCGCGGUAAUACGUAGGGGGAAAGCGUUAUCCGGAUUUACUGGGUGGAAAGGGGGCGCAGACGGCAGCGCAAGCCAGGAGUGAAAGCCCGGGGCCCAACCCCGGGACUGCUCUUGGAACUGCGCGGCUGGAGUGCAGGAGGGGCAGGCGGAAUUCCUGGUGUAGCGGUGAAAUGCGUAGAUAUCAGGAGGAACACCGGUGGCGAAGGCGGCCUGCUGGACUGCGACUGACGUUGAGGCCCGAAAGCGUGGGGAGCAAACAGGAUUAGAUACCCCUGUAGUC
rnacentral:rRNA from 1 species